rnacentral:lncRNA from 1 species
CCAACAUUGCUUUGUCUCUCGCUGGAGAAGCCUGUGAGAACGAGGAUGGGCAAAGUGUCAGGCUCUUGGUGCAGCUGAAAAUCCUUUGAGAUGGAAGAAAUGGCUGGAACAAAGGGGCAGAGGAACAAAAAGCCCUGAACUGCUUCGCCCCUGCCUCGUGGGGUCUUUAUCAUCUUAAACCUUGGGAUUUGGGCUUUGAUCAACUCGGCCUUCCUGGGCCUCGGGGAGAGAGACGGACUGCCUCCGGGUGCUCAUGACCUUUCCAGCAGUAAGCCAAUAAUGUAUGACUCCUGCGUUGCCGUUGCUCGUUUGAGGAACAUCUGUCCAGUCCCUGGGAUGGUGAGGCUAUAACCACAAAGGAAUAAGAGAAGACGACUAGUUUUGUAAUGGCUUUGAAUGAUGCAUUGGCCCACGUGGACCACCUUCCAUUUCCCAAGACUUUUUGAAGGCAAUGAAUGAGAAGAAAGCAGAGAAAACAGUGGGCGUGAGGUCAGAUGACUCAGGCUUGAGUACUGAUCACAUCAAGGAUUGGACGCACUGCUCUUAGGAAGGCACAACUUCUACUACUUUCAGUCUUAUCAACUGUGAGAGGAAGAAGAAGCAAAGCACACCAUUGAUGUGUGUGGGUUUGAUGUAGCAUCUUCUAAGAGGUCUACAAAGAGACAUUGCAAAGCCAGGCCUCUAAAUGAUUCCUCUGUGAAACAUUGGGCCAAACAUUCCGUAACCCCUUCCUGCUCUGGUGAUCAUGUAAGUAGAUAUUCUGGAAGCACUUGCUCUACAGAUGGAGAAUUGUCACCAUCUGCCAGGACAGCUCCUGCUCAUCUUUCAUGACUCAGCUCACAUGUCAUAACUUCAAGGGGCCUUCAGCUCUCUGGCCCUUCCUGCCCCAUGAAGGCUCUACCCAGUGCCCCCAACUUUGCUCCUUCGGCUGCAUUUGAAGCAUUUACCUGUGCUUGUUAAUUGUUGGUGGAAUUGUCUGUAGACUGUGACCUUGAGUGUGCAGAGUCUUGUAGAGUCAUCUCUGGAUUCCCCACUCUGAGAACCACGCUUGGCCAUUGCAGGCUCUCAACAAAGGCUUGCUGAGGGGAUGAAUGAAUGAAUGUAUGGAUGGCAUGAAUGUAUGGGCUCUGGUGAAUUUUUUGCCCACAUUUUGCUGGCCAGCGGCUGCAUUGGGUCUGCACACUGAACCCUUUGGCUCAAGGUAUCAGAGCUGCUCUCCUUCCAGUGAAGACUUGGAUGGAAGACUUGAGAUGCAGGUUAUGGGGAUACGUGUCACCUCUAUUCCUCAUUCAGAAGGAUACAUACCUCACUGGACCAUAAAAAAUGAGAACUGAAUUAUCUGAGUGUUUGAAUAAACUUCCACCUUGUUACUCCACUACAGUCUGAGAAAACUUCACUGCACAAAUAGAGGCAGUGUACACCCCUCACAGACACUUUCCUUUCUCCUGUUGAGAGGUGAAGCCAGCUGGACUUCUGGGUCGGGUGAGGACUUGAAGAACUUUUUUGUCUUACAAGAGGUUUGUAAAAUGCACCAAUCAGUGCUCUGUAAAAACGCACCAAUCAGCGCCCUGUGGCUAGCUAGCGGUUUGUAAAAUGCACCAAUCAGUGCCCUGUAAAAACGCAGCAAUCAGCACUCUGUGGCUAGCUAGAGGUUUGUAAAAUGGACCAAUCAGCACUCUGUAAAACAGACCAAUCAGCACUCUGUAAAAUGGACCAAUCAGCAGGACAUGGGUGGGGACAAAUAAGGGAAUAAAAGCUGGCCACCCCAGCCAGCAGCAGCAACAACACGGUCGCGUCCCUUUCCACGGUUUGGAAGCUUUGUUCUUUUGCUCUUUCCAAUAAAUCUUGCUACCCUUCACUCUUUGGGUCUGUGCCACCUUUGAGAGUUGUAACACUCACUGCGAAGGUCUGCGGCUCCAUUCUUGAAGUCAGUGAGACCUUGAACCCACCGGAAGGAACAAACUCCAGACACAGUGUGCGUGAAAAAAAUACCAUGUGAAACCAUAAGAUACCAUUGGCUCCCUUCUCUAAAGAGACUGAACCCUGCCUUCAAUAUCAAAGGCUCCCAUGACCAGAUCAUUGAACCAUUCUAGAGACUUCAAAUCCAUUGAGAUGGGAUUAAUGCCUUUGCCUACUCAGGCAGAGGACAGACUGACCAUUGCAAGUGUUCAUCAGCAUUUUCCUGCUCUUAGACGGAAAGGCCAAGGCCACCCCAAGCAUGCUGAAAUUAAUGGGCCAUCGUCAGGAAGGAGUUCACAACUGUAUAUGGAGCCAGAACAAAUGGAGAGACCUCGUUCAGUCGAUGGAUGGUAGCAACAAGGAAGAAAGCAAAUGGAGAAAUGACAUCUCAUGACCCAGGUGAAGCCUACUGUUACUAUUUGGCUAAAAUAAGCCACAUAGCUUGUGUUGAAGAAUCUUUUUUAUUUCUUUAAGAAGAAUUUGGUGCCCAUGAAAGUGAUCAAAGUUUUUUGUUCUCCAGUGACAUCAAGCAGGAGAAAAGGAUAUACUCUCCAUUGUGUGGUCUGUGGACUGGCAGCAUCAUCAUGGGUGAGAAAUGAAAAACGUGGGGUCUUCCCUCACAUGGAUCAGUAUCUGCAGUUUCACAAGCUCCCGAGGGGUGAGUGCACAUGAAGGAUUGAGUAUUGCUCCAAAUAACCAGACCAACAAGGGAGGAUGCCUUUGGUGGAAGCCAAAGUUACUGCCUAAAAGACCAGUUUACUACAAAUAGGUAAGAAGAAACCUGC